rnacentral:lncRNA from 13 species
UCUAUCUCCUCUUUGCAUGGUGGGGCUGCCUGGGAGACAGGACGUUGAGGAUGGCACAGGGCAACGUCAUCUUAGGUUGCUGGUGUCAAGGGAAGGUGGGUUAGAGGCGGAAGGACUGGAAGGGAGGUGUAGGAUUAAGUACGGAGUGUUGGAGGGCCUUGUCUCAGUGGCCCGGGUGAAGCUGACCACUUCACGUCAUCCAAGUCUUCUGCUGGUUUUGGAGGUAAGUUGACUUCAUGUUAUUCUGUGUCUGGGGGCUCUUGCAAGAACCUCAGUUUAAGGUUUUUGGCUGGGGGCAGAUUUCCACUUGGAAUGAGACUUGCAUUUUUAAAAUUGUGAAACAUGAACCCAAGGUUGUGCUUGUAACUUUUCUGUGUCCUUGGUGACUCAGUAGGCUGAGUAAUGCCCCCUGCCAAUGACAGGGAAGAGCUCCUCCCAUUCUGAAAAUGUGCAGACUAGGAUUGAAAUAUAUUUGUUCCCAGGAGACCUUGGGUGUUCUAAUCCCUUUAACUGUGGAUGUUUCCCUCAUGGUUGCCAGGGACUUUGCAGACAUGAUUAAAUUAAGGAUGUUGAGAUGGGGAGACUGUCCUGAAUGAUCCGGAUGGGCCCUCGUCAUCAGGGUCCUCAUGGGAGGGACACGAGGAGGUCAGGGGAGGAAGCAGCGGGCAGGAGAAGUGAUGGCUGGAGAGAUGGAAGCAACUCCUCUCCCAGAACCUCCGGGAGGAACCAGCACCUUGACAUUCCCUCAACAAAACGGACUCAGACUUCUGCCCUCCAGAAGUGUCCAAAGAUAAACUUGAGUUGUUUUAAGCCAGAGCCUCUGGGGCAGUGUGAGAGCACCAACAGGAAGCCAGUACAGGAGGACAGCUCUGGGUCCCUUCCAUCUGGGUUCAAGGUUCAUCUUUCGGUGGUGUCUUCCAGAAGAGCAUAUGAAGGCUGUGGUGAUGAGCCUGCUUCCCUUUUGCCUACCGCCAUGAUUGCAAGCUGCCUGAGGUCUCCCCAGAAGCAGAUGCUAGAGCCAUGCUUCCUGUACAGCCUGAAGAACGGCGAGCCAAAGAAGCCUCUUCAUAAUUUACCAGCGUCAGGAUGCAAAGCCGGAAUAUGACUUAGAACUGCUGUGCCUGACAAAACUGCUGGUGCACAUCUGUACUCUGCAGCCAGCAAAACCCGACGCAAAAAACAGAAAGGGGGAGAUGUAGGUGCACACAUCUGUACUCUGCAGCCAGCAAAACCCGACGCAAAAAACAGAAAGGGGGAGAUGUAGGUGCACACAUCUGUACUCUGCAGCCAGCAAAACCCGACGCAAAAAACAGAAAGGGGGAGAU